rnacentral:rRNA from 1 species
GACGAACGCUGGCGGCGUGCCUAAUACAUGCAAGUUGAGCGAUGAAGAUUGGUGCUUGCCCCAAUUUGAAGAGCAGCGAACGGGUGAGUAACGCGUGGGGAAUCUGCCUUUGAGCGGGGGACAACAUUUGGAAACGAAUGCUAAUACCGCAUAACAACUUUAAACAUAAGUUUUAAGUUUGAAAGAUGCAAUUGCAUCACUCAAAGAUGAUCCCGCGUUGUAUUAGCUAGUUGGUGAGGUAAAGGCUCACCAAGGCGAUGAUACAUAGCCGACCUGAGAGGGUGAUCGGCCACAUUGGGACUGAGACACGGCCCAAACUCCUACGGGAGGCAGCAGUAGGGAAUCUUCGGCGAUGGACGAAAGUCUGACCGAGCAACGCCGCGUGAGUGAAGAAGGUUUUCGGAUCGUAAAACUCUGUUGGUAGAGAAGAACGUUGGUGAGAGUGGAAAGCUCAUCAAGUGACGGUAACUACCCAGAAAGGGACGGCUAACUACGU